GGAAAUCCCCCUGAAACUAUUUCCCCCCACGACCUCUCAUCUUCUCGGUUUUGUAUUAUUUUCUGCUCGCUUUGCUUCUCGCUUUGCUUCUCGCUUUUCCAAAUAGUAAUCAUAACAUUCAAGAGUUUGAGAGAAUAGAGAAAGGUUUCUACGGUCUAUUGUUUGUGUGGCGACGGGAACUGCCAGACCUUUCGAGCUUGAUAGCUUGAUGUCGAGGCAUUCCUAUUGCUUGCCCAGAUUUCCCCUUUUCUGCUUGAUUAUUCUUCUGAGUUUGAUGUUCGAGAUAAUAGGCCCGUUGUUUAUGUGGUUAUGGAGACUGCGAGACCUUUUGAGUUUGAUAGCUUGCGGAGAAGAUCCUUUGAAGAUCUGGAUGGUGGUUUAGGCUAACAUAUCCUCUCAAAACUCUUCUUCUUCUUCUUUUGCUAUAGUUUUUUCACAGAUCUUUUCCAGGAUGACUUUUGACUCUCUUUAUGUUGGAAGGGAGUAAGUUUAAGCUUGGCUGUCUUAUAGGUUUCUACCAAUUUACUUUGCUUUUCCGCAAAAAGAUGUUACUUGAUUGUUUUAUUUCCUAAUCUGUAUGCGGGGAGAUGAGGCGGGGCAGACAAUGGCGCCGUUCGACUUUGUUCGUACAGCUCAAUAAGUAAAUAUCUCUGCAAUCUGUAGUUUGUCAGUGUUAGCAAUAUCCGUAAAGAUCUCAACUUCGGUUAAUUUGUUAUUGUGUUCCUUUUAUGUGUUUAUUUAGGGAGAAUAAGUUGAUUGUCUAACUAAAUUAGUUGAUGAAGUUUGUAACUUGAUCAGCUAAGGAUUGGAUAGGCUUAGUCAGUUGCCCUUUGUGCUUGAUUGACACAGUCGUAACGAGUUUUGAUUAGAGGCUAAUGUGAUCAAAUAUUUUGUUCAGGAAGGUCGAAAUUACUCAUCAAGCCCGCUUACAACCCUGAUACUGAGCCAAUCAUGGAGAUAGAGGUAAAUAAAUACUGCAGCCAUCUGUUAUUUUUCAUGGCUAAUGGUUCCAGAAGCCGUAAAAGCAUAUGUUACUAAGUAACGGUUCGUUGUUGACUCACAAACAGCCAUCUGCUGGAUUCUAUAUUCCUAUUGCAGUUGGACUCCAUGAAUGCCCUUAUUUCUGGGAUUUCCAGCUCCUUCUGUUUAUCUUCAGUAAUGGAAUCACCGGGUAGAUAACAGGCCUUCUCACUUGGGGUGAAGGAUAAUCAUCUUCAACGGUAGUUAGAAGAGAGUAGCAGGAAAGAGUAGUUUUGGAGUUGAGAGAGAAUUCAGACAUUUUUGUUUUAAUAGAUAUUGCAACGGUCAUCAUAAUAUACUUCUACAUAAAAUAUACGUGGAAUUCAGUCAACGGGCUGAACAAAAUACUAAUUAGGAUAAAAUAUGUUUAGCGAAAACGAUAUUAGUAUAUUGUUGGACGACCCGUUGGGUGGGUGUCAGGGUGGAUACUAACUAAAUUUGUCCCCAUUUGCUACUUGGCAACCACGGGAUUCUGGUGUAUCCGUAUUCGUCAACAUAUUCCUUUGUCCGAAUAAUUUCAGCCCAUGGUGGAUGAGUUUCGGAUGGGUACCCAAAUGUUGGGUUGGGUUUGCCAUCUCUAAGUGAUUUACCAACUUGACUGGUUUUUUUCAG
rnacentral:lncRNA from 1 species